AGGCGACGAUCAGUAGCCGACCUGAGAGGGUGACCGGCCACAUUGGGACUGAGACACGGCCCAGACUCCUACGGGAGGCAGCAGUGGGGAAUAUUGCGCAAUGGGGGCAACCCUGACGCAGCAACGCCGCGUGAGCGAAGAAGUAUUUCGGUAUGUAAAGCUCUAUCAGCAGGGAAGAAACUGACGGUACCUGACUAAGAAGCACCGGCUAAAUAC
rnacentral:rRNA from 1 species